rnacentral:rRNA from 1 species
AGAGUUUGAUCCUGGCUCAGAUUGAACGCUGGCGGCAUGCCUUACACAUGCAAGUCGAACGGCAGCGCGGGAGCAAUCCUGGCGGCGAGUGGCGAACGGGUGAGUAAUACAUCGGAACGUGCCCAAUCGUGGGGGAUAACGCAGCGAAAGCUGUGCUAAUACCGCAUAAGAUCUACGGAUGAAAGCAGGGGAUCGCAAGACCUUGCGCGAAUGGAGCGGCCGAUGGCAGAUUAGGUAGUUGGUGAGGUAAAGGCUCACCAAGCCUUCGAUCUGUAGCUGGUCUGAGAGGACGACCAGCCACACUGGGACUGAGACACGGCCCAGACUCCUACGGGAGGCAGCAGUGGGGAAUUUUGGACAAUGGGCGAAAGCCUGAUCCAGCCAUGCCGCGUGCAGGAUGAAGGCCUUCGGGUUGUAAACUGCUUUUGUACGGAACGAAACGGCUCUUUCUAAUAAAGAGGGCUAAUGACGGUACCGUAAGAAUAAGCACCGGCUAACUACGUGCCAGCAGCCGCGGUAAUACGUAGGGUGCAAGCGUUAAUCGGAAUUACUGGGCGUAAAGCGUGCGCAGGCGGUAAUGUAAGACAGUUGUGAAAUCCCCGGGCUCAACCUGGGAACUGCAUCUGUGACUGCAUUGCUGGAGUACGGUAGAGGGGGAUGGAAUUCCGCGUGUAGCAGUGAAAUGCGUAGAUAUGCGGAGGAACACCGAUGGCGAAGGCAAUCCCCUGGA